rnacentral:lncRNA from 1 species
AUGUUAUUACAGCAUCACAAUCAUUUUCUUUUUCAGAUAAAGUGUUUUUUCGAUCAUUUCUUGGUAAUGUCCUUAGGUUUUACAUACUCCAUAAGGUAACUCCUUACUCCUCUGGAAGAAAGGAGGUCAUCUCAACCAGAUUGAUUUUCUUGCUAGUCUUGUAUUGCUUUUUUACCUGAUGUCAUGAAUGUUUACACUGCCAACCUUACGUGUACCCCCAGUUUUUAGCAAUAACCAACCCUCUCAUUCAAUCCCUAAUUAUGAAAAAUCCUAAGAAAAAAAGAUUAUAAAGCAAAAUUCAUGAAAAAAGCAAUAAUAUUGAAUACAACUACAGCUUCUGAUAUGAGGUAUUGUAUUGAUAAUUAUCAUACCUCGAAGAAUCAGCUUUGUUAGAAGGUUUGGAUUUGUCAUUGCUGUCGCUAAAUAAACUCUCCCAUGAAAUC